UACGGAGGGUGCAAGCAUUAAUCGGAUUUAUUGGGCGUAAAGGGUGCGCAGGCGGCUGUGAAAGUCAGAUGUGAAAUUCCGAAGCUCAACUUCGGAGCUGCAUUUGAAACUUCAUAGCUUGAGGAUAGGCGGAGAAAACGGAAUUCCACGUGUAGCGGUGAAAUGCGUGGAUAUGUGGAAGAACACCGGUGGCGAAAGCGGUUUUCUAGCCUAUUCCUGACGCUCAUGCACGAAAGCGUGGGGAGCAAACAGG
rnacentral:misc_RNA from 1 species